AAACAUAGCCUAUAAACCCCUUUAGGUAUAACCCUGCCCUCUGAAUUUUAACAGCCGCGGUAUCCUAACCGUGCUAAGGUAGCAUAAUCACUUGCCUAUUAAUUAUAGGCUAGCAUGAAUGGGAUCACUGUCUUAAAAUUAUUUUCAUUAUAAUUUAAAUUAGAUUUUAAGUUAAAAUACUAAAUUCAAAAGAAAGACAAAAAGACCCUGAAAACUAUUAACAAAUUAGUUGGGGCAACUAUAGACUACAGUAGCGUCUAUUAACUAUAAAUAAUUAAAAUACAUAGUUCUCAGUUACUUCAGGGAUAACAGACUAAUUUUAUUAUUUAGAUCUUAUAAAUAAUAAAGAUUGGCACCUCGAUGUUGGCUUAUAUUUCCUUCCUAUAGUAACAUAUAAUGAUGGCAGCUUGUUCAUCUGUUAAACAUUUACAUGAGCUGAGUUCAGAC
rnacentral:rRNA from 1 species